rnacentral:rRNA from 1 species
UACAGGGGGUGCAAACGUUGCUCGGAAUCAUUGGGCGUAAAGCGCACGUAGGCGGUCUGUUAUGUCGGAUGUGAAAGCCCUUGGCUCAACUGAGGAAGUGCAUCCGAAACUGGCAGGCUAGAGUACUAAAGAGGGUCGCGGAAUUCCCGGUGUAGCAGUGAAAUGCGUAGAUAUCGAGAGGAACACCAGUGGCGAAGGCGAGUCUCUGGACGACUCCUGACACUGAGGCACGAAAGCUAGGGGAGCAAACAGG